UAUUGGACAAUGGGCGAAAGCCUUAUCCAGCCAUGCCGCGCGAGUGAUGAAGGCCUUAGGGUUGUAAAGCUCUUUUGGCGGGGACGCUAAUGACUUUACCCGCACAAUACGCUCCGGCUUACUUCGUGCCUGCAGCCCCGGUAAUACGAGGGGAGCUAGCGUUGUUCGGAAUCACUGUGCGUAAAGCGCACGUAGGCGGAUUGCUAAGUCCUGGGUGAAAAACCGGGGCUCAAACUCGGAACUGCCUUUGAUAAUGACAAUCUAGAGUCCGAUAGAGGUGGGUGGAAUUCCUAGAGUAGAGGUGAAAUUCGUAGAUAUUAGGAAGAACACCGGUGGCGAAGGCGGCCCACUGGAUCGGUACUGACGCUGAGGUGCGAAAGCGUGGGAAGCAAACA
rnacentral:rRNA from 1 species